CACACUCUGACUUUGCUUCUUGAAAAGCAAUGAUACUCAUGUGCUGCAUCAUGAUGUCUUGGUCAGCGAGGGACCGCAUGUACGAUGCUGGUCCCGUAAGAUCAGCACCGUGGAGCCUGGCCGAGCAGCAGGCUAGACAGCCUAGGAUUGCGUGAGCACAAGGACGGCAUCACCGAACGACACAUUUCUCAGAGCGUGUCCCGUGGCUCAGUGACACUGACUGGACACAUGAAUACGGUAGAGACGGUUCAUUGAACCCUUCACAGUGGGCUAACAGAUAUAAACGUGGAGUGAUGCCCUUUUAUCUUUUAAAGUUCUAUUUUACUUGGUUAUUUAUAAGACAAGAUACUUUCAUUUUAAUUAUAAUUGCUUUAUGGAUUAAUUAUCACAGUGAUUAUAUGAAUAUUUAAUACAACUUUAUGGUGUUUACCCACAGUAUCUUGAAAAUUAGCUCUUGUGUAUCAACAGGCCGGUGUGAAUAAUUCAUAUUCAUAAAUGCAGCUUGACUUUCAUUAGCAACGACUCCUGGAAGAUAUGUGAGCAUAUUACUGAAAAUGUGAGCUCUGGGAGUGAGUCGAAGUAAUUCUUUAUUUAUACAAACACCACAGCAGCUUAAAUGUCGGAAAAUUUCUUGGAUAAAAUCUCUUUCUUUGUAAUGUUGUUUUUCAGCAUUUCAGCAAUGCCUUCAAGAAAUCGUUGUUUCUAUUUCUCAUCUCCUAAUAAGGUCCUGCUCUCUGACUUCAUAUGCACCAGUUCUCUGUGCUCGUCAGACACAGAUUUCGGUGUGAUCAGAUGCCCCUGUGCAUUGGGGUUUGAACGACUUGAUUUCAGUGUUGAUUCUCCAUUAACGUUUUCGCCUCUGUCUCGUGACGAUUUCCACGGUGGACGCAGAGUCGAGCUGCGUGUGGUUCAUCUGUGACGUUCGUCCUGCGUGAUGGUGGAGACACCCAGAAUUCUCCAUCCUGUGCUCAUGACCCUCUGAAACACUGGUGCUGACCAGCCUCUGGGAGUGGCUGCCCCCUCAGGAGCAGUCAGCACCAUCGCUGCUUUGGGCCCACAGGCAACACCGCUUCUGUGGUUGCUGCCGGUUUGCGCUGCUGUGUGGGGCCCGCUCCAGGCUGACCCAUGUCACCCGCACCUCACCUCUGCUUGGGUGUCCACAGCCUGCGGCAAAGAGGCACUGCUGGACGAGAGGCCCUCCUCGGUUCAGAUUCCUUGUUAGUAGCUGAUUUAUUUAACCGCUGCUCACUUACUACCCCAGUUCCACCAGGGCAGACAUCCAUGUUGUUCACCUCUGCAGGCUGGUGUGUAACACGGGGCCUGGAAUACAGGAGGAGCUCAACCGACGUUCAGUGGCUUGGUUCAGCUUGGGGAGAACACUGACUGUUGGCCCGUUCCUACCCUCCUCACAGACCCUUCGCCCUGUGCACACACCGUGCGCUGGAAGCAGCAGGCCCCCAGGUCUGAGGCACCAGUUUUCCAGGGAGAUAGAUACAGCUACCUUCAGGUCAGCCCUUUGAAAGUCACGCUGACUCAGGUCACGACUCUGGCAUCUCCCUCCCAACAUGGUCCUCCCAUGGGGGCUCCCCCACGGUCACAGUGACUCAAGCAACGACCUCACAAACACAACCUGUGGACCAUACUGUCUCCAGAUUGGGAUUUCAGACCAAAGUCUUCGAGGAAGGAUCAGGGACUUACACAUAUUCACAAUUUUUUCUGAAGAAAAUUGAGGGACUAAAUGAGAUGAUGGGUAUAAAGCGCCUGGACCCACACUAUGUGCUCAACAGUUCUCACUAUUUCAGGUCAAUUUAGAGAUUUCUUUGCAAAGAGUUAUAAUUCCAAUCUUCGUUCUGCUCCACGUGGUCAAGUGUCCCCACGGUUCCAUCUAACCACCCCAGGUCAGCGGCGGACCUGGAGCCAUGUCUGACUGCUCAGUGGACACGUUGCUAAAGGAAAUUUGCGUGCCUCUUCCAUCGUUCUCUGGAAUGAGCCAGCUUCAGCACCCAAUGCGCAGGAAACGUUGGGGGAUAAACCAUGAUCUGGAGCUGAAUCACUUGUUGGACAUCCCGAGAGGAAGGUACCCUGACACCAAGGGCACUUGCGGGGAACUUCAUCUGAAAUGUGUCAAAGUCCUUUAAAUGGAAAACUCGCCCUUUCUACGCUAAUUAUUUCAGUUCAAAGAACAACUCUGCUGCUUAAAGGAUAAGAGUUAAAGACAGUGCAUUUCGUGACCCAAUCAGAGAAGUCAUCGUUAAUGGCGCCAGAGAGAAGCCGGGGUGUCUGGCUCUGUGGUUCACCUUUAGACUGCACCCACCUCGGCGAUGACAAUACGCAGCGUGGCAACUCCACCGUCCUUUGUUAGCCCGGCCUUGUGGAACCUGAGUUACCCAUGGCUGCAGGAGAUGCUGCGAGACUCAUGAGAAACUCACAUGUGAUAAAGACAAAGAACCCAGGGACAAAUCACGUCCCACUUUUAAAAGUUUCAUUUCUACUGAUAGAACUAUCCAGAAUCUUAAGGCUGAAACGAAAUCAUGCGUUUUGCUCAGUCCAUUUGGGCUGCUAUCAGGAAAUCCCACAGACUGGGUGGUUUAUAAAUAACAGAAAGGUAUUGCUCACAGUCUGGAGGCUGGAGGUCUGACUUCAGGAUGCCAGCACGACUGAGCCAGGGCCCUCUUGCAGGUCACAGACUUCUCUCUGUAUCCUCACCUGGCGGAGGGGCCAGGGAGCUCUGGGGGGUCUCCGUUACAAAGGCAGUAAUGCCAUCAUCAGAGGGCCCCAUCCUCAUGACCUGCGCUCUCCCAGGUCCCACCUCCUAAUGCCAUCACCUUAGUCACUGGGAUUUCAACAUGCGAAUCUGGGGGAACACAACUGUUCAGACCACAGUAUGCUUCAAGGAUGGACUUUGAUAAUGGAGAAAAAGUAGCAACAAACAAAUGAAAACUCACUCAAAACACCCAAAUUCGUUUUAUUCAGGGGGUCGCUAUAGUUUAGGUCCACUUAAAAUUUAUCUAACAAAUUACUUGCAUGGCUCCUCUUUCCUCAAAAAAAAAAAGAGAGAGAGAAGAAAUUUGCUAUCCUUAAUUCCUAAUGAACAUGGUAAACUGUGUUCCCUUGCCUGGAUGGUAUGAUCAGAGGCACGAAACUUUCUCCAGGAGCCCAUCCUGAGCUUAGGGUGAAAUGAAUGACAGAUGAAGACUUUGGAAUCCACCUAGUUGUCUAUAUUUUUGUAAAUGGAAAGAUCUGAUUGUCCAUUCACUUAUUUCUUCAAUUAAACAAGAUUUGUCCAAAAAUAUCUUCUAUAUGAAGAAACUAAAACACUGGGGCUUUUUCCUAAUUUAAAAAGUAAUAGAUAUUGACUUCUGUCACCAGCUAUGGUGAAGUACUUGGGCCGAGCUUAAUUUUCAGAUAUAAACAACUAGAAAAGUAGGCAGAAUAUGGAAACGACUGUUUUCAGAUACUGGAAAGCAGGCAGCACAGAGGGCUGUGAUCCUUGAUAAAAAGAGGAACAGACACGAUGAUUC
ensembl:lncRNA